GACGGGAGAGUAACACGUGGGAACGCGCCCUUCGGUCCGGGAUAACCCAGGGAAACUUGGGCUAAUACCGGAUACGCCCUUACGGGGAAAGAUUUAUUGCCGAAGGAACGGCCCGCGUCCGAUUAGCUAGUUGGUGAGGUAACGGCUCACCAAGGCGACGAUCGGUAGCUGGUCUGAGAGGAUGACCAGCCUCACUGGGACUGAGACACGGCCCAGACUCCUACGGGAGGCAGCAGUGGGGAAUAUUGGACAAUGGGCGCAAGCCUGAUCCAGCCAUGCCGCGUGGGUGAUGAAGGCCCUAGGGUUGUAAAGCCCUUUCAGCGGGGAAGAUAAUGACGGUACCCGCAGAAGAAGCCCCGGCUAACUUCGUGCCAGCAGCCGCGGUAAUACGAAGGGGGCUAGCGUUGCUCGGAAUUACUGGGCGUAAAGCGCACGUAGGCGGCUUUCUAAGUCGGGGGUGAAAUCCUGGAGCUCAACUCCAGAACUGCCUUCGAUACUGGAAAGCUCGAGUCCGGGAGAGGUGAGUGGAACUGCGAGUGUAGAGGUGAAAUUCGUAGAUAUUCGCAAGAACACCAGUGGCGAAGGCGGCUCACUGGCCCGGUACUGACGCUGAGGUGCGAAAGCGU
rnacentral:rRNA from 1 species